UGAACCUGCGGAGGGAU
rnacentral:rRNA from 1 species